GAUGAACGCUGGCGGCGUGCCUAACACAUGCAAGUCGAACGAACGGACGGGAAGCUUGCGUCUCUGAUGUUAGCGGCGGGCGGGUGAGUAACACGUGGAUAACCUACUUCUAAUACUGGGAGAACUUCGGGAAACCGGAUCUAAUACCGGCUAAUAUUAUGAACGGGAGGGUUCAGGAGUGAAAGAGGGUUUUGCUGUCACUUAUAGAUGGAUCCGCGCUGCAUUAGCUAGUUGGUAAGGUAACGGCUUACCAAGGCAACGAUGCAUAGCCGACCUGAGAGGAUGAUCGGCCACACUGGAACUGAGACACGGUCCAGACUCCUACGGGAGGCAGCAGUAGGGAAUCUUCGGCAAUGGGCGAAAGCCUGACGCAGCAACGCCGCGUGGGUGAUGAAGGUCUUCGGAUCGUAAAGCUCUGUUAUUAGGGAAGAACAGAUGUGUAUGUAACUGUGGCCAUUUUGACGGUACCUAAACAGAAAGCACCGGCUAACUACGUG
rnacentral:rRNA from 1 species